CUUGUCAUGUGUAUGAUUGAGUAUAAGAACUAGAAACGCAACUGGUUCCCAAAAGCCAAAGUAGUGUUUCCUUGUUUGAAGAUACAAAUCCAAAGACUCAUACUGACUUUGGCAACACCAACA
rnacentral:sRNA from 1 species